GACGAACGCUGGCGGCGUGCUUAACACAUGCAAGUCGAACGGAAAGGCCCCUUUGGUUGUACUCUUGUUGCGGACUGGUGGAUAACACGUUAGUAACCUGCCCUUUACUUCGGGGUAACUUCUGGCAACUGGGACUAAUACCGGAUACGACUCCUUGCUGCAUGGCGGAGGUUGGAAAGCUUCGGCGGUUUUGGCUGGACUCGCGGCUUAUCAGCUUUUUGGUGGGGUAGUGGUUUACCCAGGCUUUGACGGGUAGCCGGCCUGAGAGGGCGACAGUCCACAUUGGGACUGAGAUAAGGCCCAGACUGCUAAGGGAGGCAGCAGUGGGGAAUAUUGCACAAGGGGCGGAAGCCUGAUGCAGAAAGGCCGCGGGCGGGAUGACGGCCUUCGGGGUGUAAACCGCUGUAAGCAGGGGAGAAGCGUGUGGUGACGGUACCUGCAGAAGAAGCACCGGCUAACUACGUG
rnacentral:rRNA from 1 species